UACGGAGGGUGCAAGCGUUAUCCGGAUUUACUGGGUUUAAAGGGUGCGCAGGCGGAUAUGUAAGUCAGUGGUGAAAUCUCUGGCGUUAACCCGGAAAUUGCCAUUGAUACUAUAUAUCUUGAAUGUUGUGGAGGUAAGCGGAAUAUGUCAUGUAGCGGUGAAAUGCUUAGAUAUGACAUAGAACACCUAUUGCGAAGGCAGCUUACUACGCAGAUAUUGACGCUCAUGCACGAAAGCGUGGGGAUCAAACAGG
rnacentral:rRNA from 1 species